CUGACUCAGAAACUUUCAUUCAUCUGUUAUUAUCUAUAUUCAUCUUAUCCUCAUUUAUUGCAUGGAUGUUGUACCAUCAUUUAUCCUGUAAUAAGCCAAUAAUUCUUUUUUCUAAGUUCCUGUUUGUCAGUGUUCUUCCAGAAGUGGAGUUUCUGAAAUGAGAAUUCCAGCUUGAGAUAUGGGAUUGAUUAAUUUGAGAUUGACUUAAUGUUAUAUUUCUGAAUUAGAAUUUUGUUUUUCUUUAUUUUCCCACCAUUCAAGGUAGGUGGUGCCCCUUUUGACAAGUGCCUAAAUGACAUAAAUUAAGAUUAUUAUCAAAUACUUAUCUUAAGACAUUUAUUAUUAAUUCAAAUCGCUACACAUGUUCACUAGUAAACAUGUCAGCUAGUUUACUAGUGAGAAAAG